rnacentral:rRNA from 1 species
AUUGAACGCUGGCGGCAGGCCUAACACAUGCAAGUCGAGCGGAUGAAGGGAGCUUGCUCCUGGAUUCAGCGGCGGACGGGUGUGUAAUGCCUAGGAAUCUGCCUGGUAGUGGGGGAUAACGUCCGGAAACGGGCGCUAAUACCGCAUACGUCCUGAGGGAGAAAGUGGGGGAUCUUCGGACCUCACGCUAUCAGAUGAGCCUAGGUCGGAUUAGCUAGUUGGUGGGGUAAAGGCCUACCAAGGCGACGAUCCGUAACUGGUCUGAGAGGAUGAUCAGUCACACUGGAACUGAGACACGGUCCAGACUCCUACGGGAGGCAGCAGUGGGGAAUAUUGGACAAUGGGCGAAAGCCUGAUCCAGCAAUGCCGCGUGUGUGAAGAAGGUCUUCGGAUUGUAAAGCACUUUAAGUUGGGAGGAAGGGCAGUAAGUUAAUACCUCGCUGUUUUGACGUUACCAACAGAAUAAGCACCGGCUAACUUCGUG